AAACAGAAAUAAAGGAAAUGUGAUAGGUGUGAAGGAAAAGGAAGAGGAGUGUGGGAACAAGGGCCAGUGGGAUUAAGCCCACGAAACACUCAGGGAAAAGAAAAAAUAAGUUCCCUCAUUCUUCGUUCAAAAAUUUAAAACUCUCUCACUCUGUCAGGUCGGAGCUCGUGGUCGACGGCAAUGGAACUCUAACUACCACCCCCAGACCCACUAAUCUCAACCUUUUACUCUGUUGAUCAUGAAAACUUAGCUCUUUUCAACAUAUUCUCAACCUUCUGAGCAAAUCGAAGGAAAAUAGGUUUAGUGAUGUUGAGCCAAUGAUGCUAUGCUUGAAAUUUUGUCAUGACCUAGGAUUGUAUGGUCUGAUGUGGUGAAGUCAACUACAGGUGAUUGUUGCAUUAUUGGCUGCAAGUGGAUACUAGUUAUUACCUUGUUUGAAAUAUGUGAGAUGAAUUGUUGUAUUGCUGAUGUUGUCAUGGGCUGCAAUGAAAUGCUAGGAAAUGCUGAAAAGUUGUUUGUACUUUGCAGGUUGAAUCAGAUUUUGUAGGUGAAUUAUUGUUGUUUUUCUUAUGUUCUACAACAUUUGGUUUGUGGUUUGCAUCAGGUUCUUGCUCAUGUUUGCAUAGCCUCAUGGUUUGUGCAUGAUGAUGCUCUCAUUUGCAGGUUUGGUUAUGGUUCUGAUGUUGUACCCCAUGUUUGCUCCAUUGACUUCAUUCUAGUUUGGUGUGCUUUGUGGUUUACAACAGGUAAUGCAUGCCAUGACAUCCAAAUUGGAACUUCAAGCAUCCAAGUACACAUGGCCAACCAAAGAUCAAAGAUGGAAUUUGAAGAUAUGAUUAGAAUUAAGGUAGAGAUUUUGGAUGAAAAAUGGUUGAGUUAACUUUGGUCAAAGUUGACCAAAAAGUCAACGGUUGACCAAAGUCAACAUUUGGUCAAAGUGCAAUUUUUUGUAAUUUUUCAUGUAUGGACAUUUGUAAUGAAUAUGUAAUAAAUGGAAUUUGAUGUUUUUUAUGAAAUUGGAUUGAUAUUUGAAUGGA